AUCCAUCUGACGAGUCCCAAAUAGAACGAAACAGGUGUCCUGGAU
rnacentral:hammerhead_ribozyme from 1 species